UACUCAACUUAAAGCACUCGAACAAAUUAUGCAAUACGUUUACUUCAAUUCUUUUUUGUCAAAUAACAGAUAAUUGACACCUUCUAAGGCAUACACAUGCAGCAUCAGCUCUCCAGCCGUACCUCAAGCGUAGCUGGCAUAGGAAAGCUGAGCCGCUGAUUCAUACGAAAGGUGAUAGCUGCAUAUAUAUUCUUUUGUAUAAGUUUUCCAUGGUAUCAGAGCUUCUCUCCACCCAUCGGUGAUUCCCCCUCUUGUGCA